rnacentral:rRNA from 1 species
CGUAUCACCCAAGACAACUUUGCGGAGUUGACGAUUGACGGAGCGAAGCGACGUCAAAGCGUUCAUUAAAGUCGAGUUGGCUUAGGGAUACGUUCGUUGGGUAGGGGAGCGUUCUGUAAGCCUGUGAAGGUGGCCUGUGAGGGUUGCUGGAGGUAUCAGAAGUGCGAAUGCUGACAUAAGUAACGAUAAAGCGGGUGAAAAGCCCGCUCGCCGGAAGACCAAGGGUUCCUGUCCAACGUUAAUCGGGGCAGGGUGAGUCGACCCCUAAGGCGAGGCCGAAAGGCGUAGUCGAUGGGAAACGGGUUAAUAUUCCCGUACUUGGUGUUACUGCGAAGGGGGGACGGAGAAGGCUAUGUUGGCCGGGCGACGGUUGUCCCGGUUUAAGCGUGUAGGUGUGUGUUCCAGGUAAAUCCGGUUCACUUUAACACUGAGGCGUGACGACGAGGCACUACGGUGCUGAAGCAACAAAUGCCCUGCUUCCAGGAAAAGCCUCUAAGCAUCAGGUAACAUCAAAUCGUACCCCAAACCGACACAGGUGGUCAGGUAGAGAAUACCAAGGCGCUUGAGAGAACUCGGGUGAAGGAACUAGGCAAAAUGGUGCCGUAACUUCGGGAGAAGGCACGCUGACACGUAGGUGAAGUGAUUUACUCAUGGAGCUGAAGUCAGUCGAAGAUACCAGCUGGCUGCAACUGUUUAUUAAAAACACAGCACUGUGCAAACACGAAAGUGGACGUAUACGGUGUGACGCCUGCCCGGUGCCGGAAGGUUAAUUGAUGGGGUCAGCGCAAGCGAAGCUCCUGAUCGAAGCCCCGGUAAACGGCGGCCGUAACUAUAACGGUCCUAAGGUAGCGAAAUUCCUUGUCGGGUAAGUUCCGACCUGCACGAAUGGCGUAAUGAUGGCCAGGCUGUCUCCACCCGAGACUCAGUGAAAUUGAACUCGCUGUGAAGAUGCAGUGUACCCGCGGCAAGACGGAAAGACCCCGUGAACCUUUACUAUAGCUUGACACUGAACAUUGAGCCUUGAUGUGUAGGAUAGGUGGGAGGCUUUGAAGUGUGGACGCCAGUCUGCAUGGAGCCGACCUUGAAAUACCACCCUUUAAUGUUUGAUGUUCUAACGUGGACCCGUUACCCGGGUUGCGGACAGUGUCUGGUGGGUAGUUUGACUGGGGCGGUCUCCUCCUAAAGAGUAACGGAGGAGCACGAAGGUUGGCUAAUCCUGGUCGGACAUCAGGAGGUUAGUGCAAUGGCAUAAGCCAGCUUGACUGCGAGCGUGACGGCGCGAGCAGGUGCGAAAGCAGGUCAUAGUGAUCCGGUGGUUCUGAAUGGAAGGGCCAUCGCUCAACGGAUAAAAGGUACUCCGGGGAUAACAGGCUGAUACCGCCCAAGAGUUCAUAUCGACGGCGGUGUUUGGCACCUCGAUGUCGGCUCAUCACAUCCUGGGGCUGAAGUAGGUCCCAAGGGUAUGGCUGUUCGCCAUUUAAAGUGGUACGCGAGCUGGGUUUAGAACGUCGUGAGACAGUUCGGUCCCUAUCUGCCGUGGGCGCUGGAGAACUGAGGGGGGCUGCUCCUAGUACGAGAGGACCGGAGUGGACGCAUCACUGGUGUUCGGGUUGUCAUGCCAAUGGCACUGCCCGGUAGCUAAAUGCGGAAGAGAUAAGUGCUGAAAGCAUCUAAGCACGAAACUUGCCCCGA